UACGUAGGGUGCAAGCGUUUGUCCGGAAUUAUUGGGCGUAAAGAGCUCGUAGGCGGUCUGUCGCGUCGAAUGUGAAAACCCGGGGCUCAACUCCGGGCUUGCAUUCGAUACGGGCAGGCUAGAGUUCGGUAGGGGAGUCUGGAAUUCCUGGUGUAGCGGUGAAAUGCGCAGAUAUCGGGAGGAACACCAGUGGCGAAGGCGGCUUACUGGACAGGUCCUGACACUGAGACGCGAAAGCGUGGGUAGCAAACAGG
rnacentral:rRNA from 1 species